rnacentral:rRNA from 1 species
CGCGCAGGCGGAUUAGCAAGUCAGAGGUGAAAUCCUACAGCUUAACUGUAGAACUGCCUUUGAAACUGUUAAUCUUGAGUACGGAAGAGAGAAGCGGAAUUCCAGGUGUAGUGGUGAAAUACGUAGAUAUCUGGAAGAACACCAGUUGCGAAGGCGGCUUCUUGGUCCGUUACUGACGCUGAGGCGCGAAAGCGUGGGGGAGCAAACA